GCUCCCCAGCGCCCCCCUCCGCCCCGCCUCCCUCCUAGGUGAAGGAAGAUGAUUCCCCCCCCCAUCUUGACCGCCCCCUGCCUUCGCUGCCAAGCACGGACUCCGCCUGCUCCAGCCGACCCGGUACCAGUGGUUGGAUCCAAGAGAAUUCCGGAACCCAAACGGUAAUAGGCACGCUUGGGUGAUUCUUGCCCCCUACUGGUGGCGCGUCCCACUGGCCUUGAGCUGAAAGAAACACUUGGAGUUGAAGGUGUGAGCUCUUCAAGAGAACCUUAGAGGGAAAACGGGGAGGGAAAAAAAAAUAGUCGUGUUAAGAAGAUUGUGAACCUUCCAACUCGGCCUCUGUAUACAUAAGCUCCAGGGAACUCAGAGGCCUGCUAUGCACAGAGCUGCUCUGGUUGGAUGUGCAUUCUAGAAGGAUCACUCUGGAAGCUAUGUAGCAGAUGGACCUAAGAACUGGACUGCAGAUUCCCCGGAUCCUCUCCUGGUGACAAAACCUAACCCUAGCUGACAAAGGAGCAAUAUGGUUUGCAGCCCCAGCGUUGCGGAACAGGAUAGGGAAAACUGGAUUUGGAGAUUUUAUUUUUAAGUAAUCUCCACACCCAGCAUGGGGCUCAAACUCACAACUCGGAGAUCAAAGAGUUGAACACUCAAGGGACGCCUGGAUGGCUCAGCGGGUUAAAGCCCCUGCGUUUGGCUCAGGUCAUGAUCCUCUGCCUUUGGCUC